UAUAAUAAAUGAUGAGUAGUGAUACCGCCCCAGUCUGAUUAUAAUCUGACUGAAUGGUACCCCUCUGAUAUAAU
ensembl:snoRNA SNORD31 Small nucleolar RNA SNORD31